rnacentral:rRNA from 1 species
UACGAAGGGUGCAAACGUUGCUCGGAAUCAUUGGGCGUAAAGCGCACGUAGGCGGCCUUGUAAGUCGGAUGUGAAAUCCCUCGGCUCAACUGAGGACGUGCAUUCGAAACUGCUCGGCUCGAGUAUGGAAGAGGGUCGCGGAAUUCCCGGUGUAGAGGUGAAAUUCGUAGAUAUCGGGAGGAACACCGGUGGCGAAGGCGGCGACCUGGGUAGAUACUGACGCUGAGGCGCGAAAGCGUGGGGAGCAAACAGG